rnacentral:rRNA from 1 species
AUGGCUCUCUGUUUUAUGUGUAUAGAGAGUCUGACCUGCCCAGUGAAUAAUUUUUAACGGCCGCGGUACUCUGACCGUGCGAAGGUAGCAUAAUCAUUUGUCUUAUAAUUGAAGUCUAGUAUGAAUGGUUUGACAAGAGUGUAGCUGUCUCUUUUUAAUUUUUUAGAAUUUUAUUUUUAAGUUAAAAAGCUUAAAUAGUAUUAAAAGACAAGAAGACCCUAUCGAGCUUUAAAAAAUUUUAUGGAUAUAAGAUAUUAAUAUAAAGUUUACUAUAAAGUAUUUUGGUUGGGGCGACUAAGGAACAUAAAAAGCUUCCUUGAAUUAUUUUUACUUACGGGUAAUGAUCCAAUUUUUUGAUUAAAGAAAUUAGUUACCGUAGGGAUAACAGCAUUAUCUUUUUUGAGAGUUCAUAUCGAAAAAAAGGAUUGUGACCUCGAUGUUGGACCAGAAUUUCCUAAAGAUGUAGCAGUCUUUAAGGGUUGGUCUGUUCGACCAUUAAAAUUCUACGUGAUCUGAGUUCAGACCGG